CUCCCCAGCUGCUCCUCUGGAUCCCACUGUUCUCAUCCAGGACCUCCAGCGCAAACCCAGAGAGGAGAAUGAGGAAGAAAAUAUCUUUUAAAAGUGAUGAUAAUAUUCCCAUUCUCUGCUCACCCUGGAGGCUUAUUUUGAAUAUCACAGUGAUUUAAAUUGUUAGCAGUUUAAUUCAUUUUUAAAAGAUUAACCAGACCAAUUAUUCAUCAGAUUUCACGGUCUUUGUCAGCCUCAAUAAGGGUCCUUUGUUACAGUGAUUAAUGUGUUUUAAUUGUAGCUUCUCUCAGAGCAAUAAUUCGAUCGCACAGUAUUUGCCGAAUCUAUGGAAAUCUUGGAAAUGCUUUGACAGCUGAGCUAUUCUUGGGAAAUGAAAGUAAAGGAAUAUAUGUAACUAACAAAAAGUGUUUUAUAGCAUAUCAUUAAUAUGGAUUUUCCCUCUCUGACAGACCUUGCUCAACUUCAGAAGUCCAUGAGGCUGCUUGCUGCGCGUGUCAGUUUGCCAUACAGGAACAAUCAGGAGGUAGAGCUCAGUUAGCACAGAGAUGCCAUGCUGAGCAGAUAACCACUGGGGAGGCAGAUAGACACCCCGGGAGGAGCACACACAGAAGGAAGAUCCUCAUCCAUAAAGAGUUUCUCCUACCUUGGCAAGGACAUGCAAGAAGGAGAGUCGGAAAGAGACCAUUUUCUUCUGCCCCUAGUUUCCACGUUCGCCUGCCUCAGAUGUAGGAACUGAGACUGGACUUGGUCCUGCCUACAUUAGUGCCCCUGGUCUCUUGGUCCUGGACUCCAGGAAGAGCCUCCCUCCUCGCACCUGUCUGUCUCACCGCGUUUCUCCAGGCAGAGACGGAGGAGAGCCCUUGCCUGCAGCUCCAGCCGUGUGUCUGAGGGUCACAGAGCUGGGUGGGUGCACUUCAGUAUCGGGUAACACCGGGCCCCAAAGAAAGAAGAACGUAUCACGAAGAGCUUCAAUAUCAUCAAAUUAACAC
rnacentral:lncRNA from 1 species